AAAAGACGUGAAUUUAUUUUACUUAUUAUAUUUUAUCUGGUUUUUGUCGAUCAUCAAAAAUUUAUAAAAAAGGCAACGAUAACUGAUGGGAAUGUUAAGGGCUGACGUGUAAAGAUAAGGACGAUCUGUGAGAAUCUUUAAGUUUUAUGAUUUUAUAUAAGAGGUUUUUCGGAGAUAACAAAAUAAACAGAAAUAGCACUUACUAGUACUUAUGCGGGUAAAAAGGUCACUUCGGAGAAAAUUAUAAUAUGUGGGAAUGUUGGUAUUUAGGUCCUCAAAAACAUAGGCGAUGACAGAUAAUUACCAGAAUUCUUUUAAGGGAUAUUUCUAAUAUGACCCUUUUUAGAAUUCAGUUCGACGGUAAUUUUACUCGAAAACAGUCGCGCAGCAAUGCCCACUUGUUCUCCCGUAAUUUUUCUCUAGUGUUGUGGUUAGUGCCUUUAUUGAACUAUCAAACCUGUCAAAUUACAAAGAUAGUCAUGAGGUUUCAUUAAAGAAAAAUCACAGGGAAAACAAUCGAACAGAAAACAAUUUUCACAUCAGAAAGUGGGCCGGACUGAUUGUGCGAAGCAGUGCAAACUUUGAUAUUACCAUAACUGAUUUUGAGUCGAUUUGUUCAAAUACGUCGCAAAAAUUUCAUCCUGAUUAUUCAUUAGAUCAAUAUAAGAAUCUGUAGAGGGUUUACAUAACCUCUACUGAAGAUCUAAACGUUGAACUUGAUGAUGCACAGACUAAAGAAGCAGAUCUGGAUCUGGAUGACCCUAUGAAUAAUCCAGACUUUCAACCUAACGAUGUGCACACCACACUGAAGAAAAUGAAGAAGAGAACAACAAUGCUGAACCUAAUAAAAGACGCAAAAAAAGAAAGAGAAAAAUCCUAAUGUUUGAAAAAAGACGAUUCGAAAACCCAAAAGAAUGUACUGAGACACUAGGUAGACUUCAAGAUAAAAAAGUUCCAAAUCAAAGUUGCAGCUGCAUGAAAAAAUACAAUAAGAGACUUAAUGACUUAGCUAAAAUACUAUUUGCUGAAAUUUCUGGAGUUUAGGCAAUCUAGAGAGGCAAUACGAUAAUCAGAUCAGCAACAGAAACAGCAACUGCUUGCUCAAGAACAGAGCGUUCUAGAUGAAAAUUUACUUUAAAAUACUCACUUCCAUUAAAAUCAGGUAAUAAACAUGUCUGCAAAAUAAUGUAUUUGGACACAUAAAAAAAAUAAAACUUUAGAGUUUUAGAAAUUUAACUAGAGUUAAAUUUAAACUAUUAUAGGCAAUUACGAAACUAUACAAAACAUGCUAUUCAGCGGGAAAAAAUAUCAUAUUUUAACACACUUUCUACAAAAAAAAAUCGUGAUUUUUGGAAAAAUGCUAAUAAACUACAUCUAAUUAAAUCAAAGAAUACCGAUUUGCCUUGUAAUUUUAGUAAUCCAGAAGCCCUAAAUAAUUAUUUUUCUCAAUGCGUUAACCAAAUUAACAACAAUAGAAUAUUACAAACCAAAUUAAAUUUUAAUAAUGAAAAUAAAUGGAAUAAUAGUAAUUAAGAAUUAAAUUUAAGUCUUCUUGAUGAAGAAAGCGUUAACAGUAUAAUUAAAACCAUAAAAUCAAAGGCUAUAGGAGCUGACGGACUUUGUAUAAAUGAUAUCAAGCUUUGCCUACCUUUUUGUGAAAAAACCACUUCUAAACAUUUUAAAUACUUGCAUUCUUACAAAUGUGUAUAUCGAUAUCUGGAAAAAGGCCCUUAUAAGACCCAUUUAAAAAAUCUCUAAUCCAAAAGAACUAAAAGACAUAAGGCCUAUAAGUAUUUUAUCAGUAGUUUCUAAAAUUCUAGAAAAGCAUAUUCACCAACAACUUUAUAAUUUUGUUGACUCAUUUGGUAUACUUCCAGAUACGCAAUCGGGAUUUAGGAGGAAUUAUAGUACAACUACUAGUCUGGUGGGAAUGUUAGAUAAUAUAAGACUUAACGAAGAACAUAAACAAAGUACUUGUAUGGCGGUGCUUGAUUUUAGCAAAGCCUUUGAUAUAAUAAAUCACUCAAUGCUCCUUGCAAAGUUAGGAUAUUUUGGUUGUUCCGAAUCCACGGUUUCUUUUUAUGAUUCAUAUCUUAAAAAUAGAUCACAUUCGGUGUUGUUAAAAACCAACAAUGGUUUUUAAUAACAAGUUUGGAGCACUCAAAGUAUCUUGACUUGAAAAUUGGUGUUCCUCGGGGCUCCAUAUUGGGACCUCUUUUAUUUUCGAUUUAUGUUGCGGAUAUGCAUAAGUGUAUUGAACAUUGUAAAUUACAACAAUAUGCUGAUGAUUCUCAGAUAGCCAUUAAAUUUUUAAAUUUUAAUAUUUCUGUGCAAAAAAUUAAAUCGGAUAUAUUAAACAUAGUUAAUUAUUCCAAUGAGCAUAACUUAAAAAUUAACCCUGCUAAAUCUAACAUCAUUUUAUAUGGCUGUAAUUCAGGAAUUCUGAGACACUUAUAUGAAAGUAUAAAUAUUGAGAUUAAUGGAGAAAAAAUUCCAGUUGUCAAUGAAGUAAAAAUUUAGAUUCUAACCUUUGUUUUGAGACACACAUAAAGAACAAAUUAAACAUAGGCUAUAUGCGUCUCAGAAAUCUGUACAGAUUUAAAAAUGUCUUAAAGAGUAAAACCAAGUAUUAUCUCUGCAAUAGCCUUAUUCUUUCCUUACUUGACUACGGUGAUAUCGUAUAUUCUAAUUCUAUAACAUCUGAGCUUUCUAGAUCCAUACAAAAAUUGCAAAAUAGCUGUGUAAGAUUUUCUUAUAGCGCAGCCUAUCGAAAGCAUAUCACACCUUAUUUAAACAUAAAUUCUAUUUUAAAUAUGGAAAGGAGAAAAAAAUUACACAUAUAUGCCUUUAUAUAUAAAAUAAUAAAGUCGGGUCAACCCCCUCAUUUAAAUAAGUUAUUUGCUACUCUCUCGCAUUUACACAAUACUCAUGCUGGAAGUUUUAGAAUACCUCAACAUAGAACAAGUAACUUCCACAAGUCAUUUUCGGUUGUCGGAGUUACAAUGUGGAGUAACUUGCCAAAUCAUAUUAAAGAUUUGCCACUUAAUAAAUUUUUCACCAAGGUUAAGCAAAUUCUUCUCGACUCCCAACGAGAUGCCUAGUAGUAUGUUUAACAUAAACUGCAAACUCAACUAAGACCAAAGUAUAUAGAUUUCAACUUUUCAAUGUUAGACUGUGCUAAGACCAAAGAUAAGCUGGCCUGUUUAAUAUUUCUUUUGUAGUUCUCUUUUGUCUAUUCUUGUUGCCUUCCGUUGCAUGCCAGCCAAAUUGCUUUGCCAUUUUAGUUUCUGCCCUUUUUAGUUUUAGUUUUGUUCUUUUUUAGGUUAAUUAGGAAUUUUUUUUUGUGUUUAUUUAUAAUCUUUUCAGUUUCAAUAUGAUGGCUUGUAAUGUCAUUUUCUUGUUAAGGCCUGUUUCACGCAAUUGCGCUAUCGGUUUUAUAUAAUCGCGAAGCAGUUCCUUUUACCAAAAAUUGUCAAAUUUUAUUUUCUCAUGUAAUUAUAUUUAUAACUAGUUUUUUUUGGUAAUAAACUUUUUUUGACAUUAAAUACAGCAGAUACAAAAGUAAGAGUUGCUCUAAGAGCAGUACAUCAAUUAUUAGAGCACCAAGCUCAAAUAGACGCGGCAGACAUGUUCCUUUCAAUAAGCUUGCAACUGAUGCCAUUGUGGCUAUGAAUAGUCACAUUGACUCGUUUCCCAGAGUACCUUUUCACUGGUGUCGACGAGAUACUUAUAAAGAAUACUUGGAGGGAAACUUAAAUAAAGAGGUAAUGCAUAAAUUAUACCUAGAAUAUUGUCAAGAAAGGUACAAUAAACUUGUUUCAAAAAAACAAUAUGCAAAGAAGCCGUUAUAAAGACAAAUAUUAGCUUCUAUCAUAGAAGGACCAGUGCUGGUGCUGUGAUUUUAAGAUAGGCGACAUGGACGAAAGUAAUAUUACAGCAAAGACAAAAGAAGUAUGAACUUCAGACUAAAAGAAAGAAUGUAGCAAAUGAACACAGAAAAACUCACAAAAAGAAGCCAAGAAGAUAAGUCUAUAGUUUGCGGAAAUUUUGACCUAGAAGCCGUCGUAAAUUGUCCUAUAUUUUUUUAGGGAACUUAGGGUUUAUGAGGUAGUUUCCCAACAAGGACACGCGUUUCUGUGGGAUGAAAUAAAUGGACAAAGAGGGAGCAAAGAGAUAGCAACUUGUUGUAAAUGUAUUUUUUCCCUUCCUACAGAUAUGAAACAACUACGAUUAUAUUCGGACUUAUGCCCAGGACAAAAUAAAAAUUUCAUAAUUGCUUAUAUGUUGCAAUAUUCCCUUUCGAUGCAUGAUACAUUGGAAACAAUUCUAAUGAAUUUUCUGCACAAAACUGGGAUUGCCGUAUAAAGUAAAUGGUUUGACUUUCUGGAUUUCAAAAACUUAAAAACUUCGCGAAUGCCUAAUGUACAUAAAGCUACCGAACGAUGUUAAAUGUUAACUGUUUGGCAAAGAUUUUCCGAAUUCAAUGUUCGUUUAAUGCAAAUACUGGGAUUAGUGUGAGGAAGUCCACACCAACUUAAGGAGACUUUAAAUCUCGAUAUCUAAAAAAAUAAUAAGAAUAUUUAAUGGCAUUUUGCAAAGACCAUACUAUUUUACCAGAAUACCAUGAUUUUUAUAAAACUUUCUAUCAUUUAAAAUAAAAGUGGAAACAUCAACACACGAAAACGAAACUUACAAAAUUUAGUACCUAUUUUUGUAGUUUUUGUUACAACUUAGUUUAACUUCCAAAACAAUGUUAGUUUUUCGAUUUUUUUAAAUAAACUUGUUUUUACUUUUUG